rnacentral:rRNA from 1 species
UGCCAGCGCCGCGGUAAUACGGGGGGGGCAAGCGUUAUUCGGAAUUAUUGGGCGUAAAGGGCGCGUAGGCGGCUUUUCAAGUGACGGGUGAAAUCCCUCGGCUUAACCGAGGAACUGCCUGUCAGACUGGAAGGCUUGAGACCGGGAGAGGUGAGUGGAAUUCCCAGUGUAGCGGUGAAAUGCGUAGAUAUUGGGAGGAACACCAGUGGCGAAGGCGGCUCACUGGACCGGAACUGACGCUGAGGCGCGAAAGCGUGGGGAGCAAACAGG